UACAGAGGGGGCAAGCGUUGUUCGGAAUUACUGGGCGUAAAGGGCGCGUAGGCGGCGCAACAAGUCACUUGUGAAAUCUCCGGGCUUAACCCGGAGCGGCCAAGUGAUACUGUCGUGCUAGAGUGCGGAAGGGGCUACUGGAAUUCUCGGUGUAGCGGUGAAAUGCGUAGAUAUCGAGAGGAACACCUGCGGCGAAGGCGGGUAGCUGGGCCGACACUGACGCUGAGGCGCGAAAGCCAGGGGAGCGAACGGG
rnacentral:rRNA from 1 species